AACGAACGCUGGCGGCAUGCCUAACACAUGCAAGUCGAACGAGACCUCCGGGUCUAGUGGCGCACGGGGGCGUAACGCGUGGGAACCUGCCCUUAGGCUCGGAAUAACUCCCCUAAGGGGGGGCUAAUACCGGAUAACGUAUGCGAAUCAAAGAUUUAUCGCCUUGGGAUGGGCCCGCGUUGGUUUAGCUUGUUGCGAGCGUAAAAGCCUACCAAGGCGACGAUCCAUAGCUGGUCUGAGAGGAUGGUCAGCCACACUGGGACUGAGACGCGGCGCAGACUCCUACGGGAUGCAGCAGUGGGGAAUCCUGGACAAUGGGCGAAAGCCUGAUCCAGCUCUGCCGCGUGAGUGAUGAAGUCCUUAGGGUUGUAAAGCUCGUUUACCCGGCAUGAUAAUGACAGUACCGGGAGAAUAAGCUCCGGCUAACUCCGUG
rnacentral:rRNA from 1 species